rnacentral:rRNA from 1 species
AUUGAACGCUGGCGGCAGGCCUAACACAUGCAAGUCGAGCGGAGCGGCGGAAGGGUGAGUAAUGCCAAGGAAUCUGCCUGGUAGUGGGGGAUAACGUCCGGACACGGGCGCUAAUCCCGCAUACUAUCAGAUGAGCCUAGGUCGGCUUAGCUAGGUGGGGGGGUAAAGGCCUACCAAGGCGAAGAUCCGUAACGGGUCUGAGAGGAUGAUCAGUCACACUGGAACUGAGACACGGUCCAGACUCCUACGGGAGGCAGCAGUGGGGAAUAUUGGACAAUGGGCUAAAGCCUGAUCCAGCCAUGCCGCGUGUGUGAAGAAGGUCUUCGGAUUGUAAAGCACUUUAAGUUGGGAGGCGUUACCAACAGAAUAAGCACCGGCUAACUUCGUGCCAGCCGCCGCGGUAAUAC